rnacentral:rRNA from 1 species
AGAUUGAACGCUGGCGGCGUGCCUAACACAUGCAAGUCGAGCGGUAACAGGUGUAGCAAUACAUGCUGACGAGCGGCGGACGGGUGAGUAACGCUUGGGAAUCUGCCUGUUAGUGGGGGACAACCCGGGGAAACUCGGGCUAAUACCGCAUACGCACUACGGUGGAAAGCCGGGGACCGCAAGGCCUGGCGCUAACAGAUGAGCCCAAGUCGGAUUAGCUAGUUGGUAGGGUAACGGCCUACCAAGGCGACGAUCCGUAACUGGUCUGAGAGGACGACCAGUCACACCGGAACUGAGACACGGUCCGGACUCCUACGGGAGGCAGCAGUGGGGAAUAUUGGACAAUGGGCGAAAGCCUGAUCCAGCGACGCCGCGUGGGUGAGAAGGCCUGCGGGUUGUAAAGCCUUCGGUGGGAAGAAAGCCUCGAGUUAACACCUCGGGUCUUGACGUAACCCAUUAAAGAAGCACCGGCUAACUCUGUGCCAGCAGCCGC